AUUGAACGCUGGCGGCAUGCUUUACACAUGCAAGUCGAACGGUAACAGGGUGCUUGCACCGCUGACGAGUGGCGAACGGGUGAGUAAUGCGUCGGAACGUGCCGAGUAGUGGGGGAUAACGCAGCGAAAGUUGUGCUAAUACCGCAUACGUACUGAGGUAGAAAGUGGGGGACCUUCGGGCCUCACGCUAUUCGAGCGGCCGACGUCUGAUUAGCUAGUAGGUGAGGUAAAGGCUCACCUAGGCGACGAUCCCUAGCUGGUCUGAGAGGAUGACCAGCCACACUGGAACUGAGACACGGCCCAGACUCCUACGGGAGGCAGCAGUGGGGAAUAUUGGACAAUGGGGGGAACCCUGAUCCAGCCAUGCCGCGUGUGUGAAGAAGGCCUUAUGGUUGUAAAGCACUUUAAGCGAGGAGGAGGCUACUUUAGUUAAUACCUAGAGAUAGUGGACGUUACUCGCAGAAUAAGCACCGGCUAACUCUGUGCCAGCCGCCGCAGUAA
rnacentral:rRNA from 1 species